rnacentral:rRNA from 1 species
AGAUUGAACGCUGGCGGCAGGCCUAACACAUGCAAGUCGAGCGGAUGAAGAGAGCUUGCCCUCUGAUUCAGCGGCGGACGGGUGAGUAAUGCCUAGGAAUCUGCCUGGUAGUGGGGGACAACGUUUCGAAAGGAACGCUAAUACCGCAUACGUCCUACGGGAGAAAGCAGGGGACCUUCGGGCCUUGCGCUAUCAGAUGAGCCUAGGUCGGAUUAGCUAGUUGGUGAGGUAAUGGCUCACCAAGGCGACGAUCCGUAACUGGUCUGAGAGGAUGAUCAGUCACACUGGAACUGAGACACGGUCCAGACUCCUACGGGAGGCAGCAGUGGGGAAUAUUGGACAAUGGGCGAAAGCCUGAUCCAGCCAUGCCGCGUGUGUGAAGAAGGUCUUCGGAUUGUAAAGCAACGUUAAGUUGGGAGAAGGCAUUAACCUAAUACGUUAGUGUUUCGACGUUACCGACAGAAUAAGCACGGCUAACU